GGAGAGGUGACCGAGUGGUUUAUGGUGCCGCUCUCGAAAAGCGGUGGGCAGAAAUGCCUCGUGGGUUCGAAUCCCACCCUCUCCG
rnacentral:tRNA from 2 species